rnacentral:rRNA from 1 species
GUCGAACGAAACUUUCUUACACCGAAUGCUUGCAUUCACCGUAAGAAGUUGAGUGGCGGACGGGUGAGUAACACGUGGGUAACCUGCCUAAAAGAAGGGGAUAACACUUGGAAACAGGUGCUAAUACCGUAUAUCUCUAAGGAUCGCAUGAUCCUUAGAUGAAAGAUGGUUCUGCUAUCGCUUUUAGAUGGACCCGCGGCGUAUUAACUAGUUGGUGGGGUAACGGCCUACCAAGGUGAUGAUACGUAGCCGAACUGAGAGGUUGAUCGGCCACAUUGGGACUGAGACACGGCCCAAACUCCUACGGGAGGCAGCAGUAGGGAAUCUUCCACAAUGGACGCAAGUCUGAUGGAGCAACGCCGCGUGAGUGAAGAAGGUCUUCGGAUCGUAAAACUCUGUUGUUAGAGAAGAACACGAGUGAGAGUAACUGUUCAUUCGAUGACGGUAUCUAACCAGCAAGUCACGGCUAACUACGUGCCAGCAGCCGCGGUAAUACGUAGGUGGCAAGCGUUGUCCGGAUUUAUUGGGCGUAAAGGGAACGCAGGCGGUCUUUUAAGUCUGAUGUGAAAGCCUUCGGCUUAACCGGAGUAGUGCAUUGGAAACUGGAAGACUUGAGUGCAGAAGAGGAGAGUGGAACUCCAUGUGUAGCGGUGAAAUGCGUAGAUAUAUGGAAGAACACCAGUGGCGAAAGCGGCUCUCUGGUCUGUAACUGACGCUGAGGUUCGAAAGCGUGGGUAGCAAACAGGAUUAGAUACCCUGGUAGUCCACGCCGUAAACGAUGAAUGCUAGGUGUUGGAGGGUUUCCGCCCUUCAGUGCCGCAGCUAACGCAAUAAGCAUUCCGCCUGGGGAGUACGACCGCAAGGUUGAAACUCAAAGGAAUUGACGGGGGCCCGCACAAGCGGUGGARCAUGUGGUUUAAUUCGAAGCAACGCGAAGAACCUUACCRGGUCUUGACAUCCUUUGACCACCUAAGAGAUUAGGCUUUCCCUUCGGGGACAAAGUGACAGGUGGUGCAUGGCUGUCGUCAGCUCGUGUCGUGAGAUGUUGGGUUAAGUCCCGCAACGAGCGCAACCCUUGUUGUCAGUUGCCAGCAUUAAGUUGGGCACUCUGGCGAGACUGCCGGUGACAAACCGGAGGAAGGUGGGGACGACGUCAAGUCAUCAUGCCCCUUAUGACCUGGGCUACACACGUGCUACAAUGGACGGUACAACGAGUCGCGAGACCGCGAGGUUUAGCUAAUCUCUUAAAGCCGUUCUCAGUUCGGAUUGUAGGCUGCAACUCGCCUACAUGAAGUCGGAAUCGCUAGUAAUCGCGAAUCAGCAUGUCGCGGUGAAUACGUUCCCGGGCCUUGUACACACCGCCCGUCACACCAUGAGAGUUUGUAACACCCAAAGCCGGUGGGGUAACCGCAAGGAGCCAGCCGU